rnacentral:lncRNA from 1 species
CAGAAUCCAUAUCGAACUUUGAACUAAUCUCAAGAAUCUACACUACCAAAAUCAAACACAAAGAUAAAUGUCUAAACAUUACAGUUUUAAUCUUAAAAAACUAAUUUGACAACUUCAGAGUUUCGCACAGACUAGUAUCAGAGUUUCAGACAUUUUAUUUUCUCAAAAACUUUUUCGAAACAUUGUGGUACAAAUUUUCAGAAUUUU